CUUCCCUCUUGCUGCGUGCUUAACACAUGCAAGUCGAACGGAAAGGCUCCUGCUUGCAGGGGUACUCGAGUGGCGAACGGGUGAGUAACACGUGGGUGAUCUGCCCUGCACUUCGGGAUAAGCCUGGGAAACUGGGUCUAAUACCGGAUAGGACCACAUUUUGGAUGGUGUGGUGGAAAGUGUUUCGGUGUGGGAUGAGCUCGCGGCCUAUCAGCUUGUUGGUGGGGUAAUGGCCUACCAAGGCGUCGACGGGUAGCCGGCCUGAGAGGGUGUACGGCCACAUUGGGACUGAGAUACGGCCCAGACUCCUACGGGAGGCAGCAGUGGGGAAUAUUGCACAAUGGGCGCAAGCCUGAUGCAGCGACGCCGCGUGGGGGAUGACGGCCUUCGGGUUGUAAACUCCUUUCGCUAGGGACGAAGCGUUUUUGUGACGGUACCUGGAGAAGAAGCACCGGCUAACUACGUG
rnacentral:rRNA from 1 species